AUGAUCGGCAGGUCACGCUCGAGGUCCUUGCCGCCUUACCUUCCCGACGCCGUCAUCUCCAACAUCCUGUCAUGGCUCCCGUCCAAGUCAGCCAUCCGAUGCAAGGCCGUCUGCAAGGCCUGGCAUGCCAUGGUGUCCGAUCGCCACUUUGUCAGCGAUCACCUGGAGCGCUCCAAGGAACGCCCAGCGGUGCUCCUACUGCCUUGUGCGUACUCUAGACGGGAACACAACGUGCUCAUGUCCUUGUGGAUAGAUUUCUACUACAACUCCGGCGGCGGGGAUAUGACAGAACUGAUGUACCGCGAGCACAUCCCUAAAAGCAUCGGGCAAUGUACUCUGCCUUUGCACUGCGAUGGGCUGAUCCUCACCUCCACGCUGGACCAGGAGGUCAUGGUCUGCAACCCGGCGACCAGGGAGUUUGUCACCUCGCCCAAGGGCAGCCAUAACCUCAAUAAGCGCCCUAGGGUUGGGCUCGGUUUCGACCCAAGUAGUAGCAAGUACAAAGUGGCAAGAUUCUUCUACCAGGUAGAAGACGGAAAAACAUCUCAACCGAUCUGCAGGUUUGAGGUGCUCACGCUGGGCACUGACAACGAAUGGCGACGAACCGUUGAUCCACCGUACCCGAUUAUGGGGGUAACUCCGGGCCAUAUGCGAGGCGCUAUUUACUGGGCGGUCGAUCUGCCGAGCGCGGAGCAUCCCAAUGCGUUCCUCCGAUUUGAUCUAGCCGACGAGAAGUUCGGUCUUACUCCGUACCCUCCUUGUGAGCGCACGGAGCCGACGUACUUCGUUGAGCUGGAGGGCGAGCUGUGUUGCGCUUGCUUUACCGGAAAGCAUCUCGUAGAAGCUGAGGAUGUUGUGGAGAUCUGGACAUGCGAUGGAACGGGGGCGCCAAUGUGGGCUCUGCGCUGCACCAUUCCGAUCCCUAAGGACUCCAUUGUGCCGUACCCUGCUGGGGGUUUCACGAUUCCGACCGUCAUGUUUCUGGGGGAGCACUUGCUUCUCAUGUGUGACCACAAGUUGCAGGAGUUCUGCGUUUGA
rnacentral:rRNA from 1 species